rnacentral:tRNA from 1 species
GCCUGGGUGGCUCAGUGGUUGAGCGUCUGCCUUCAUCUCAGGUCAUGAUCUCAGGGUCCUGGGAUUGAACCCCACCUCGGGCU